UGGAGAAAAAGCAUUCCGGCCGGUGCGCGCGUUAUUUUUCCCUCUGUAUUUGCGUGAUCGCCCUCUGCGGUAGCAUUUCCGUAUCUUCCGACGCGUUUACGUCGCCCGACGUUUUGCCGGUGCGACACUUGCGCGCGUAAUCGUCCGCGGCCCGUCAACGAACGCUGGCCCGGCCCCUCCCCCGGUCGGGUAAGCCCAAAGCGGUCCCGCGAAACCGGCGUGAGGUUGCUGCUGCUGCCCGUGAUGUACCUGUGCGGUACAUGAUGUUCGUUUUCGAAGACACCGGCCAAUAUUGAUUAACAGUUUUUCCUCAGAUAUUUCAUUAUCAGCCACUCUAGAGCAGUGUCUCUAACCUUUUUGAUAUCACGGAACACCAAACAAUAAUAAUUUUUUUCAUGCGGAACCCCCUUUGAUAAUAAUUAUCUUUAAAAAAUAACGGUACACAACACAUGGCGCUAAAACACUAAAUACAGCAAAAUGUAAUUAAAUUAUUUAUUCAGAAUUUAGAUUAUAUUUAGGUUAGAUUAGAUUUACAUUAGAUUGUAAUAACAGGAAAAAAUAAUAAAAUAAGUGCAUGAAUCUUAAUGGGAUGGUUGAGCUUGAAUGUUGACUGCAUAUAUUAUCAAUAUCUAGAGUAAGGUUUGUUAAUGAAAGUCUUAGUGUCUGCGUCAAAUUCAACAUAUUUCGAUAUUUAGUCUUGGUUGCAGUGACUGCCGAGAAUUCAAUUUCACUUAUAUACAUUGAAGGAAAAGGAAUUAAACUGUCAAUGCCUUUUCACUUAACACCUCAUAUUCGCU